rnacentral:rRNA from 1 species
UCGAGCGGAAACGACUUAACUGAACCUUCGGGGCAACGCUAAGGGCGUCGAGCGGCGGACGGGCGAGUAAUGCCUGGGAAAUUGCCCUGCAUGUGGGGGAUAACNAUUGGAAACGAUGGCUAAUACCGCAUAAUAGCUUCGGCUCACAGAGGGGGACCUUCGGGCCUCUCGCGUCAGGAUAUGCCCAGGNGGGAUUAGCUAGUUGGUGAGGUAAGGGCUCACNAAGGCGACGAUCCCUUAGCUGGUGUGAGAGGAUGAUCAGCCANACUGGAAGUGAGAUAUCGGUUCCUAGACUCCUACGGGAGGUAGUCAUGUGGGGAAUAUUGCAUAAUG